rnacentral:rRNA from 1 species
GCAUAUCAAUAAGCGGAGGAAAAGAAACUAACAAGGAUUCCCCCUAGUAACUGCGAGUGAAGCGGGAAAAGCUCAAAUUUAAAAUCUGGUGGUCUUUGGCCAUCCGAGUUGUAAUCUAGAGAAGUGUUACCCGCGUCGGACCGUGUACAAGUCUCCUGGAAUGGAGCGUCAUAGAGGGUGAGAAUCCCGUCUUUGACACGGACUACCGAGGCUUUGUGGUGCGCUCUCAACGAGUCGAGUUGUUUGGGAAUGCAGCUCAAAAUGGGUGGUAAAUUCCAUCUAAAGCUAAAUAUUGGCGAGAGACCGAUAGCGAACAAGUACCGUGAGGGAAAGAUGAAAAGAACUUUGGAAAGAGAGUUAAACAGUACGUGAAAUUGCUGAAAGGGAAACGCUUGAAGUCAGUCGCGUUGGCCGGAAAUCAGCCUUCCUUUUGGUUGGUGUAUUUUCUGGUUGACGGGCCAGCAUCAGUUUUGACCGGUGGAUAAAGUUGUAGGGAAUGUGGCAUCUUCGGGUGUGUUAUAGCCCUGCUUCGUAUACAUCGGUUGGGACUGAGGAACUCAGCACGCCGUAAGGCCAGGUUUCGACCAUGUUCGUGCUUAGGAUGCUGGCAUAAUGGCUUUAAUCGACCCGUCUUGAAACACGGACCAAGGAGUCUAACAUGCCUGCGAGUGUUUGGGUGGAAAACCCGAGCGCGUAAUGAAAGUGAAAGUCGAGAUCCUUGUCAUGGGGAGCAUCGACGCCCGGACCAGAAGUUUUCUGACGGCCCUGCGGUAGAGCAUGUAUGUUGGGACCCGAAAGAUGGUGAACUAUGCCUGAAUAGGGUGAAGCCAGAGGAAACUCUGGUGGAGGCUCGUAGCGAUUCUGACGUGCAAAUCGAUCGUCAAAUUUGGGUAUAGGGGCGAAAGACUAAUCGAACCCAUCUAGUAGCUGGGUUCCUGCCGA